CUAUGCGCCUUGCCCAGCCCGCUCAGAAACGUAAUAAGGAAUUGACGGGGGCCCGCACAAGCGGUGGAGCAUGUGGUUUAAUUCGAUGAUACGCGAGGAACCUUACCUGGGCUCAAAUGUAUGUUGACGUAUUCUGAAAGGGAUACUUCUUCGGACAAUAUACAAGGUGCUGCAUGGUUGUCGUCAGCUCGUGCCGUGAGGUGUCGGGUUAAGUCCCAUAACGAGCGCAACCCUCGCUGUGUGUUACAAGUGUCACACGGAACUGCCGGUCAUAAACCGGAGGAAGGUGGGGAUGACGUCAAGUCAGCAUGGCCUUUAUAUCCUGGGCUACACACACGCUACAAUGGGAAGGGACAAUAGGUUGCGAAGCCGCGAGGCGGAGCCAAUCCAGCAAAACUUCCCUCAGUUCAGAUUGCAGGCUGCAACUCGCCUGCAUGAAGUUGGAGUUGCUAGUAAACGCAGGUCAGCCAUACUGCGUUGAAUACGUUCCCGGGGCUU
rnacentral:rRNA from 1 species